ACUGCUUCAACCACGACACCGUCAUCUACUGCUUGAACCACGAUGUCGGUUCUUCGUCGACCUCCACCACGCGCGCUGGCAUCCGUCCAUCUCCGGCCAUGGUGACCGCGGAUCUCCGACCAUGAUGGGGUAAGGAGUUGAAAGGCGCAGGUGGUCAGGCCUGCAAUGAGUGCGCCCUCCUGGUCUGCCGCCUUUGCUAUGAGUAUGAACAUGAGGAUGGCGUACAACAAGGAGUUGACGGCCUACUCAAGCGCCAAGGGAAGGCGGCAGGCUGGCAGCGCCACCAAGAGCCCAACACGAACCUCCAAUAUUGAGUCCUACCUAUAAUUCACGGAUAAGGUUGGUUGUGCCCCUCUGCUGGAGGAUCUCAGUCCAACUACUCUGGAUGCAUCUAUGACAUGGUGGACAAGGCAGUAGAAGCAUGUGACAUGGCAGCCAAGGGAGUUGUUUUGUGGGAUGAAGUGUUGGUAAAGACAACAAGCCCCAAGGAUCUGCAUAUGCGUUGCAAGUAACUCUGCCGCAACCGCGGCCGGCUGUGCUUCUUCCUUGGCUACAAACCACCUAGGUGAAUGGAACUCCGUUGAGGACUUCUACCCAUGUUGAAGAGCAGCUAGCUUUU